CCUACGGGAGGCAGCAGUGAGGAAUAUUGGUCAAUGGGCGCGAGCCUGAACCAGCCAAGUCGCGUGAGGGAAGACGGCCCUACGGGUUGUAAACCUCUUUUGCCGGGGAGCAACGGGCGCCACGUGUGGGGCCACUGAGAGUACCCGGAGAAAAAGCAUCGGCUAACUCCGUGCCAGCAGCCGCGGUAAUACGGAGGAUGCGAGCGUUAUCCGGAUUUAUUGGGUUUAAAGGGUGCGUAGGCGGACUGUUAAGUCAGCGGUCAAAUUGCGGGGCUCAACCCCUGCCUGCCAUUGAAACUGGCGCUCUUGAGUGGGAGAGAAGUAUGCGGAAUGCGUGGUGUAGCGGUGAAAUGCAUAGAUAUCACGCAGAACUCCGAUUGCGAAGGCAGCAUGCCGGCUUCCUACUGACGCUGAGGCACGAAAGCGUGGGGAUCGAACAGGAUUAGAUACCAUGGUAGUC
rnacentral:rRNA from 1 species